UGGGGAAUUUUGGACAAUGGGCGAAAGCCUGAUCCAGCAAUGCCGCGUGUGUGAAGAAGGCCUUCGGGUUGUAAAGCACUUUUGUCCGGAAAGAAAUCCUUGGCUCUAAUACAGUCGGGGGAUGACGGUACCGGAAGAAUAAGCACCGGCUAACUACGUGCCAGCAGCCGCGGUAAUACGUAGGGUGCAAGCGUUAAUCGGAAUUACUGGGCGUAAAGCGUGCGCAGGCGGUUUGCUAAGACCGAUGUGAAAUCCCCGGGCUCAACCUGGGAACUGCAUUGGUGACUGGCAGGCUAGAGUAUGGCAGAGGGGGGUAGAAUUCCACGUGUAGCAGUGAAAUGCGUAGAGAUGUGGAGGAAUACCGAUGGCGAAGGCAGCCCCCUGGGCCAAUACUGACGCUCAUGCACGAAAGCGUGGGGAGCAAACAGGAUUAGAUACCCUGGUAGUCCACGCCCUAAAACGAUGUCAACUAGUUGUUGGGGAUUCAUUUCCUUAGUAACGUAGCUAACGCGUGAAGUUGACCGCCUGGGGGAGCACGGUCGC
rnacentral:rRNA from 1 species